AUUGAACGCUGGCGGCAUGCCUUACACAUGCCAGUCGAACGGCAGCACGGGUGCUUGCACCUGGUGGCGAGUGGCGAACGGGUGAGUAAUACAUCGGAACAUGUCCUGUAGUGGGGGAUAGCCCGGCGAAAGCCGGAUUAAUACCGCAUACGAUCUACGGAUGAAAGCGGGGGACCUUCGGGCCUCGCGCUAUAGGGUUGGCCGAUGGCUGAUUAGCUAGUUGGGGGGGUAAAGGCCUACCAAGGCGAAGAUCAGUAGCUGGUCUGAGAGGACGACCAGCAACACUGGGACUGAGACACGGCCCAGACUCCUACGGGAGGCAGCAGUGGGGAAUUUUGGACAAUGGGCGAAAGCCUGAUCCAGCAAUGCCGCGUGUGUGAAGAAGGCCUUCGGGUUGUAAAGCACUUUUGUCCGGAAAGAAAUCCUUGGCCCUAAUACGGUCGGGGGAUGACGGUACCGGAAGAAUAAGCACCGGCUAACUACGU
rnacentral:rRNA from 1 species